CAGGGUAGGGCAAGGCCAGGUCAGUGCUCGAUCCGAGUUUGUUUUUGUGGGGGACGGGGGUGCGAAUGGUGACUGAGUGAGGUAGAAGUUAAUAAGUGUCCUGGAGAGAUCGAGGUUUGAACCCUUUGACCCAGAGCAGAUCAUUUUGUGACGUGCUGUGUUAGAACAAGUGGUCCGGAGUCCAGCCCUGGCCAAGAGGCUCCUGCUCUCCAUUUUGAUUUUGUUCAGGCACUUACACUGAAAGGCAGCCGAGGCCGCCUGGUUUUACUGUCUCUUCUUGAAGGGAGCCCACAGUCAGUGCCAGGAACAAAUGGUUACGUGUUAAAGUAUCUGCCUCGUCUCUCUCUCUCAGCCCCACAUGACAGAAUUCACCAACAGGCAGCUGCAAUUUCUGUGAACUCCACAAUCGUAAUCUUUGUGUUCUUCAAUCUACUGCAAACUUGGGAAGUUUAAAGAGUUCCAGGGCAAGUUUGGCAAGACUGCGAACUGACUGCGGUUAAACCUGCAUGUAAUUUCACUCACACGGACUGAGGCAAGAUCAGUUACUCCCUAAAGACGUGUUUACCUUGCACUGCAGUGGAAAGAGUUGACAUGGAGAGGAUCACACAUCAAAGUUGCUGGUGAACGCAGCAGGCCAGGCAGCAUCUGUAGGAAGAGGUGCAGUCGACGUUUCAGGCCAAGACCCUUCGUCAGGACUAACUGAAGGAAGAAAUGAAAAGCCUCAUCCUGAGAGCAGAUGCGGCGGAGACAGAGGAAUUGCGAGAAGGGGAUGGCGUUUUUGCAAGAGACAGGGUGAGAAGAGGAAUAGUCCUUC